rnacentral:rRNA from 1 species
CCUACGGGUGGCAGCAGUCGGGAAUAUUGCACAAUGGAGGAAACUCUGAUGCAGUGACACCGCGUAUAGGAAGAAGGUCUUAGGAUUGUAAGCUAUUGUCGUGUGAGAAGAAAAUGACCAUCACAGGAGGAAGCCCUGGCUAAAUAUGUGCCAGCAGCCGCGGUAAUACAUAUGGGGCGAGCGUUAUCCGGAUUUAUUGGGUGUAAAGGGUGCGUAGGCGGGAAAAUAAGUCAGUAUGUGAAAUCCCUCGGCUCAACUGAGGAACUGCAACUGAAACUAUUUUUCUUGAGUGUUGAAGGGGAAAGUGGAAUUCCUAGUGUAGCGGUGAAAUGCGUAGAGAUUAGGAGGAACACCAGUGGCGAAGGCGACUUUCUGGGCAACAACUGACGCUGAGGCACGAAAGUGUGGGGAGCAAACAGGAUUAGAUACCCCAGUAGUC